UGUGCCAGAAGCCGCGGUAAUACGAAGGGUGCAAGCGUUACUCGGAAUUACUGGGCGUAAAGCGUGCGUAGGUGGUUGUUUAAGUCUGUCGUGAAAGCCCUGGGCUCAACCUGGGAAUUGCGAUGGAAACUGGGCGACUAGAGUGUGGCAGAGGGUAGUGGAAUUCCUGGUGUAGCAGUGAAAUGCGUAGAGAUCAGGAGGAACAUCCGUGGCGAAGGCGACUGCCUGGGCCAACACUGACACUGAGGCACGAAAGCGUGGGGAGCAAACAGGAUUAGAUACCCUGGUAGUCCGCGCCCUAAACGAUGCGAACUGGAUGUUGGGUGCAAUUUGGCACGCAGUAUCGAAGCUAACGCGUUAAGUUCGCCGCCUGGGGAGUACGGUCGCAAGACUGAAACUCAAAGAAAUUGACGGGGGUGCCAGCAGCCGCAACAAGUCACUGUGCCAGCAGCCGCGGUAGUGAUGUGCCAGCAGCCGCCAACUCAAAUGAAUUGACGGGGCGUGUGCCAGCAGCCGCAACUCAAAUAAAUUGACGGGA
rnacentral:rRNA from 1 species